rnacentral:rRNA from 1 species
GACGAACGCUGGCGGUGUGCUUAACACAUGCAAGUCGAACGGACAGGCCCUGCUCUUGUGGGGUGCUCGAGUGGCGAAAGGGUGAGUAACACGUGAGUAUCCCGCCCUUGACUUUGGGAUAACAUCAGGAAAAUGGGGCUAAUACCGGAUAGGAGCUCCUGCUGCACGGUGGGGGUUGGAAAGUUUCGGCGGUUGGGGAUGGACUCGCGGCUUAUCAGCCUGUUGGUGGGGUAGUGGCUUACCAAGGCUUUGACGGGUAGCCGGCCUGAGAGGGUGACCGGCCACAUUGGGACUGAGAUACGGCCCAGACUCCUACGGGAGGCAGCAGUGGGGAAUAUUGCACAGUGGGCGGAAGCCUGAUGCAGCAACGCCGCGUGCGGGAUGACGGCCUUCGGGUUGUAAACCGCUUUCGCCUGUGACGAAGCGUGAGUGACGGUAAUGGGUAAAGAAGCACCGGCUAACUACGUG